rnacentral:rRNA from 1 species
UACGUAGGGCGCAAGCGUUGUCCGGAAUUAUUGGGCGUAAAGAGCUCGUAGGCGGCCUGUUACGUCUGCUGUGAAAUCCCGGGGCUUAACCCCGGGCGUGCAGUGGAUACGGGCAGGCUGGAGGCAGGCAGGGGAGAACGGAAUUCCUGGUGUAGCGGUGAAAUGCGCAGAUAUCAGGAGGAACACCGGUGGCGAAGGCGGGUCUCUGGGCCGAUACUGACGCUGAGGAGCGAAAGCGUGGGGAGCGAACAGG